rnacentral:tRNA from 2 species
GGGGCGGUGGCGGAAUAGGCAGACGCAACGGACUUAAAAUCCGUCGGUGGUGACACUGUGUGGGUUCGACCCCCACCCGCCCUA